AGUGAACGCUGGCGGCGUGCUUAACACAUGCAAGUCGAACGAGAACGGAAUAUAGCUUGCUAUAUUUGUCAGCUAAGUGGCGCACGGGUGAGUAAUGUAUAGAUAACCUGCCCUUAAGAAAGGAAUAACAGUUGGAAAAGACUGCUAAUGCCCUAUAUGCCUUUAAUACAUAAGUAUGCAAGGGAAACGCUUUAGUGCUUAAGGAUGGGUCUGUAUGGUAUCAGCUUGUUGGUGAGGUAAUGACUCACCAAGGCUAUGACGCCUAACUGGUUUGAGAGGAUGAUCAGUCACACUGGAACUGAGACACGGUCCAGACUCCUACGGGAGGCAGCAGUGGGGAAUAUUGCACAAUGGACGAAAGUCUGAUGCAGCAACGCCGCGUGGAGGAUGACACAUUUCGGUGCGUAAACUCCUUUUAUAUAGGAAGAUAAUGACGGUACUAUAUGAAUAAGCACCGGCUAACUCCGUGCCAGCAGCCGCGGUAA
rnacentral:rRNA from 1 species